rnacentral:rRNA from 1 species
UUUUCUGCCACCGAAUACAUUAGCAUGGGAUAAUGGAAUAGGACCCUGUCCUCCUAUUUUCAGUUGGUUUUGGCAGCGCGAGGACUAGGGUAAUGAUUAAUAGGGAUAGUUGGGGGCAUUAAUAUUUAAUUGUCAGAGGUGAAAUUCUUGGAUUUAUGAAAGAUUAACUUCUGCGAAAGCAUCUGCCAAGGAUGUUUUCAUUAAUCAAGAACGAAAGUUAGGGGAUCGAAGACGAUCAGAUACCGUCGUAGUCUUAACCAUAAACGAUGCCGACCAGCGAUUAGGAGACGUUGAAUACAAAACACCACCAUCGGCGCGGUCGUCCUUGGCGCGUUCGUGUUCACGCACGGGCGCGCGAGGGCGGUUUAGCCCGGUGGCACCGGUGA